rnacentral:rRNA from 1 species
UACGGGAGGCAGCAGUGAGGAAUAUUGGUCAAUGGUCGAGAGACUGAACCAGCCAAGUAGCGUGCAGGAUGACGGCCCUAUGGGUUGUAAACUGCUUUUAUCAGGGAAUAAAGUGAGGCACGUGUGCCUUUUUGUAUGUACCUGAUGAAUAAGGACCGGCUAAUUCCGUGCCAGCAGCCGCGGUAAU